rnacentral:rRNA from 1 species
UACGGGGGGAGCAAGCGUUGUUCGGAUUUACUGGGCGUAAAGGGCGCGUAGGCGGCCAGCACAAGUCAGUUGUGAAAUCUCCGAGCUUAACUCGGAAAGGUCAACUGAUACUGUGCGGCUAGAGUGCGGAAGGGGCAACUGGAAUUCUUGGUGUAGCGGUGAAAUGCGUAGAUAUCAAGAGGAACACCUGCGGCGAAGGCGGGUAGCUGGGCCAACACUGACGCUGAUGCGCGAAAGCUAGGGGAGCAAACGGG